AUCUAGCUGACGAGUUCAAGAUAAGACGAAGCGCGCCUCCUUGAU
rnacentral:hammerhead_ribozyme from 1 species